rnacentral:rRNA from 1 species
UAGGGAAUCUUCGGCAAUGGACGAAAGUCUGACCGAGCAACGCCGCGUGAGUGAAGAAGGUUUUCGGAUCGUAAAACUCUGUUGUUAGAGAAGAACAAGGACGUUAGUAACUGAACGUCCCCUGACGGUAUCUAACCAGAAAGCCACGGCUAACUACGUGCCAGCAGCCGCGGUAAUACGUAGGUGGCAAGCGUUGUCCGGAUUUAUUGGGCGUAAAGCGAGCGCAGGCGGUUUCUUAAGUCUGAUGUGAAAGCCCCCGGCUCAACCGGGGAGGGUCAUUGGAAACGGGGAGGCUUGAGUGCAGAAGGGGAGAGUGGAAUUCCAUGUGUAGCGGUGAAAUGCGUAGAUAUAUGGAGGAAAACCAGUGGCGAAGGCGGCUCUCUGGUCUGUAACUGACGCUGAGGCUCGAAAGCGUGGGGAGCAAACAGG